CGCGGUAAUACGUAGGUGGCAAGCGUUAUCCGGAAUUAUUGGGCGUAAAGCGCGCGUAGGCGGUUUUUUAAGUCUGAUGUGAAAGCCCACGGCUCAACCGUGGAGGGUCAUUGGAAACUGGAAAACUUGAGUGCAGAAGAGGAAAGUGGAAUUCCAUGUGUAGCGGUGAAAUGCGCAGAGAUAUGGAGGAACACCAGUGGCGAAGGCGACUUUCUGGUCUGUAACUGACGCUGAUGUGCGAAAGCGUGGGGAUCAAACAGGAUUAGAUACCCUGGUAGUCCACGCCGUAAACGAUGAGUGCUAAGUGUUAGGGGGUUUCCGCCCCUUAGUGCUGCAGCUAACGCAUUAAAGC
rnacentral:rRNA from 1 species